GAAACAUAUACAGUAGGUUUUAUUUACAGGUGAGCAGUGUGAGCUGGGACAGUAAUCAUUUCUCGACAAAUGCAAUGUUCCAACAUUUAGUUUCAUUAAAAAAAAUUAUCUGCUCUCCUCGACUAGUGUUUGUACAAUUUAUAGCUUUUUCAGACUGAAGAAAUCUCAUUAGCCUAAUUUGAGUUUUAACAUGGGAAUGUCCUAUAGCCUGAUCCUCCACAUAGGCGCUGGAGAGGGUUCAGCUCUGAAGUCUGUAGGUGUCGCAACAGGUUACACAUGCUCUUAACAGGACAUUGACAACUUCACUUACGACCUUGCUGACCUGAAGCCAGUUUCUAACUUGGAGUCUGACUUUGUUUUCCCUCCCCUGACUAAUGUUAACAUGAACUAUCUAGCCAUGUGUGAAAAACAAGGUAUGUACUACAACUAGAGACGAGCUCAUGGCUCUAUAGGUAAUUUUACUUUUCAACCUUUUUAAGAAAAUACAAUAAAAAAAUGUGGUUUCUUCAGGCAACAUAACCACUGACUACUUAGUUUUUGUAUCUGCAGAUCCCUGUGAGUAGAUGCACUGUGGACCUCACAGGCUGUGUGUAAAGAAUGACGGAAAGCCUGUCUUCGCUUCAGAGUCUAACAUCUGCUCUGUAUAGGGGAUUCUUACUACCGCACCUUCGUCAGCAGUAACACUUUGCCGUGAUUGUGGCUAGUACAUGUCCAUACUGUCUUGUUGCUUUUGCAGAUCAAUAGUCAGCAGAGGAACCUGCCCCUAGCCCUGGCCGCCGGCUCACUGCCUUUAAACCCUAGCAGCUCCAGCGUUGUCUUGGAAACAGACUUUGGCCUGAUGCUGCGGUAUGACUGGCAUCACAACCUUGAAUUGGAAGUGGCACCGGAGCUGUCUGGUUCACUGUGUGUUCUCUGUGGAAACUACAGCCACAAUGCAACUAAUGACUUUGCCACCCCUGAUGGAACUGUGGCGGCUGUGGACUUUGCGCUUCGCUGGAAAGUGGACUGCGGCGCCUCAUGUCCUGUGUGCAGUACAGGCCAAGUGAACUCUAAACCUGCAUUGGGUUCGGUUUCAGGCUGCUGCAGAGCCACGUCCAUGUUGUUCUUGAGGACCUCUGCAGCUGCAAGGCUGACCAAUGUGCUGCUGAUGGAGCUCCUUCUGCUGUCUGUAGGUCGAGGCAGGCCUACUCUGACAUAUGUCAGAGGCAGGCUACCUCACAGUGCAAGGAGGGCUAUCUGCUCAGUGGCAGCCAUUGUGUCCCAGGCAGCAGGUGUGGCUGCAGCCAUCAAGGUCUCUACUACCUCCCCAUGAGAUGUUCUGGAUGGACCGCCAGUGUCGGAAGCAGUGCACCUGCCAGCCUUUCUCCUAGAAUGUCACCUGUGUCCAGGCCCAGUGUCAGGAGGACAAGGUGCGCAAGAAUCUGGCUGGGCUACCAUAAGAAAGGGCUUAGGGUGUGCACAGCUCAAGGGGAUCGGCAUUACACCAUUUUUGACGGGAACAGGUGUGUCUUCCAAGGCACCUGUGCGUACCAGCUGGUGAGGCACUUCCCUAGCACGGGAGACCUGCCUGGUUUCAGUGUGGUGAUGCAGAACAUGAGGAGGACGACACCAACACUUCUUAUUCCAGAAGGGUCAAUAUUUUGGUCCAUGGUUACUCUAUUGAGAUCUCUCAUUACUAGGAUGAAGUAGUUGUGGUGAAUGGGAUUAUUUUGAGCCUUCCCUCAGUGUUGAGCCAAGGUAAAGUGAAGAGCUCUCCAUGUGUAUUGAGACUGACUUUGGUGUCCUGGUCACAUACAACUGGAACCUCCUGACUGUCCAAGUGCCCAGGGUCGUCUCUGGCUCACUCUAUGGCCUGUGUGGGAACUUCAACGCGGACCCAGAGGACUAUCUAACAGACGACGGGGACAUCUAUGGCUGUGAGGCGCUGGAAAACUAGUAACGUUGUUGAAUGUGUGGAUGUGACGACUGUGAACAAUCCCCAAUGCCCCAUCAGGAGCAGGCUCUCUAUUUAGGCAGGGACUACUGAGGGAGUGUUCCAGAACUGCCACGGGAAGGUCAACCCCAAACGCUGCCUUUGACAACUGUCUACGACCUCUGCUACAACAAUGACAAGCAGACUGCCCUGUGUCAGAUUCUCUCAAUUUACACCGCUGCUUGCCAGGAGGAAGGGGCAAACGUAGAUGAAUGGAGGCUUCAGAUUAUUGUGGUCUGUACUGUCCAGCCAACAUUGAAUACAACCUGUGCUCCAUCCCUGUGCCCAACAAUUGUGUGGCGUCUCGUGUAAACCUGGGUUCUUCCAUAGUGGUGGGAAGUGUGUCCCCAACACUGAGUGUGGCUGCCUCUGACGGUUUGUGCCACAAGAUCAAGGCAGUGUUUUACCCCCAUGAUCACUGCCAGGUUGCUUCUCUUGUCGGUCAUGGCUAGCUACCAUGCACUGACACCACCUGUUCCAGGUGAACAGAGUGUAGGAUCCAAAAUGGCCCCCGUGACUGCUAUCCAGCGCCAGUAUCAGGGAAGUGCAAAGUGGUGGGAGGCAUAUGAUGGGCAUAGCUUUGAUCUCCAUAUGGGCAUAUCAAGAAGCCACCAUUUCCUAAACCAGACAUAUGCCAAGAAUGGAGCAGAUACAUUUUCAUAUAUACAGCAAGGUCAGCUACACCUGAGGUACAAGGGACUGAAUGACUGUGGAACCGCAGCAGAGGGGGAUGGUUGAGGUCUGACCUUUGUCUCAAGGUGAAAAGGGCUUCCUGGAACCUUCCGGUCCACCAGGAGACUGUGCUUUCUGGUCUGACAACACAGGUGGAAAUGGACAAUAGGGCAGUGAUCACGUACGGUGGACCUGACUUCAUACAGCUGUUAUCCCCUCCUGCCUACGCUGGCAAGGCAUGUGGGUGGUGUUGAAACUUCAACAGCGCUGCUACAGAUGACACUCAGAUGGUCCGUGACGUUUUCCUGUCUGGGGUCAUUUGCCCAGAGUGUAACUGGACCUUGGCGGCUGAGUUCAAGUUGGAGCAUUUCUGUGGAGUCCUCUCAGCUCCUGCUGGCCUAUUCAAAGACUGCCACGCCACGGUAGACCCACAACCUUUCUUGGACAACUGUGUAAAGGCCCCUGUGUGUGUCUUGAAGGGAUAUGGCAAAGUACUGUGGAAGCCUGAAGGAUUAUUGGGGCGGCAAGGUAGCCUAGUGUUUAGAGCGUUGGACUAGUAACCGAAAGGUUGCAAGUUCGAAUCCCCGAGCUGACUAGGUACAAAUCUGUUGUUCUGCUCCUGAACAGGCAGUUAACCCACUGUUCCUAGGCCGUCGUUGAAAAUAAGAAUUUGUUCUUAACUGACUUGCCUAGUUAAAUAAAGGUAGAAAAAUAGAAAAAAAAAUGUAUUUUAUGAAGCCGCAGCCAAGGUCUAGCCAUGGAGGGGAGACGAAUGCUGUAAGUGGAUGAUGCAAGAUCCUUUCUGGCUUAAAACUGAAUUCAACAUGUAUUAUGUUUACAAAGACUAAAUGUCUUUCCCCUGCAUACAGCCAUGUCAUGCCCAGUGAACUCUCACUACAAGGUGUGUACCAAUGCCUGCCCUGAAACCUGUGCCAAUACUUCUGGUUUGGUCACCAGUCCUUCGACUUCUGUGGAUGGGUGCCAGUGUGAGGCUGGGUAAUGUGCUCAGUCAUGAUCACUGUGUCAAGCCUGAGCAGGGUGGCUGAUUCCAGACUGGAUGCUACUAUGAGGUGUGUGUGUGUGGAACAGGCAGAAGCAACGGUUUAAUGGUUCAGUCAGACUGGCCUUUGUAUUGUACUCCCAAAUUACUCUAUGUGUAGCUGGUUUGUUUCCAAUCCCAAACUAUACUGAACAAAAAUAUAAACGCAACAUACAAGAAUUUCAAAGAUUUUACUGAGUUACAGUUAAAUUGAAAUAAAAUUAAAUAGGCCCUAAUCUAUGAAUUUCACAUGACUGGGAAGGAGCGCAGCCAUGAGUGGGCCAUAGGCCCACCCACUUGGGAGCCAGGCCCACCCACUUGGGAGCCAGGCCCAGCUAAUCAGAAUGAGCUUUUCCUCACAAAAGUGCUUUAUUACAGAAAUAAAUUCUCCUUAGUUUAAUCAGCUGUCUGGGUGUCUGGUCUCAGAUGGAUGUGGAGGUCUUGGGCUGGCAUGGUUACAUGUGGUCUGCGAUUGUGAGGCCGGUUGGACGUACUGACACAUUUUCUGAAAUGAAGUUGGAGGCAGCUUAGGGUAGAGAAAUUAACAUCACGUUCUCUGGCAACAGCUCUGGUGGACAUUCCUGCAGUCAGCAUGCCAAUUCCGUGCUCCCUCUACAAACAUCUGUGGCAUUGUGUUGUGACAAAACUGCACGUUUUAGUAGCCUUUUAUUGUCCCCUGCACAAGGUGAACCUGUUUCGUGCUGUUUAAUCAGCUUCUUAAUAUGCCACACCUGUCAGGUGGAUGGCUUAUCUUGGCAAAGAAGAACUGCUCACUAACAGGGAUGUAAACAAAUGUUUUCACAAUCUGAGAGAAACAAGCUUUUUGUGCAUAUAGAACAUUUCUGGGAUCUUUUUUUCAGCUCAUGAAACAUGGGACCAACACUUUACAUGUUGCGUUUAUAUUUCUGUCCAAUAUGUAUUUUCUGGGUUGUAAUGAUUGGUGCAUUUCCAAACCUUUCCAAAGUGACCAGAUCAUUUGACUGUUUUAUCAUGUUCCAAGACUAGAGGUUUGAUUACUCUGAGGGUGUAGUCAGUAAUGACACAUUGUCACAUUUAUUAUGACACAUUAUUUAUCAUCAAUUCCCAAACCUGAAUUUAUGCAGCUGUAGUCCCUGACAUGUUGCCACAACUACACCACAGAUCAAAAUGUGCCAUGCUUCAUCUAGCCCAGGCUGUCACAAACAGCCCAAUGAUUUAUGUCUUAACUGUAUGUUAGUCACUACACCUGUGUACAGGGCUUGACUAAUCCCAAAACCUUUGUGGGGUGUCAGUUGGAGGGGGGGUUGUAUAACGAACACACACUGACUCAUUGUGCUUCUGCAGAAGGGGGAGGUUUCCUGGUUGGAUGGGUGCUCAUGUUCCGCCCCUGGCUCCCUGCGCUGAGAGGCUGCCUCUGCCCUAAGGGUCGAGCUGCACCCUUCUUGACUGUUCCUUGGGCUGGGUUGGGAAAGGUAAUCACUGCCCCGCUGGUCAGCUGGAUUCUCUGACACACCCAGAAGCUCCAAAGUUACCAAACUUGGAGGGCUUGGUUGUUUAUUUGAACUAAACCACUUCUCUGAUUAGCUUUUUUUGAGUUGUGGUGUUGUACCACUGAAGAAAAAUGUAAAGUGUUGGUUCCAUGUUUCCUGAGCUGAAAUAAAAGUUCCCAGAAAUGUUCCAUACGCACAUUUUGUGACACUUGUUUACAUCCCUGUUAGUGAGUAUUUCCCCUUUGCCAAGAUAUGCCAUACCUGUCAGGUGGAUGGAUUAUCAAGAAGCUGAUUAAAAAGCAUGAUCAUUACAUAGGUGCCCCUUGUGUUAGGGACAAUAAAAGACCACUCUAAAAUGUGCAGUUUCGUCACAUAACACAAUGCCACAGAUGUCUCAAGUUUAGGAGUAUGCAAUUGGAAUUUUGACUGCAGAACUGUCCACGAGCAGUCGACAGAUAAUUUAAUGUUCUCUAUCAUAAGCCACCUCCAAUGUUGUUUUAGAGAAUUUGGCAGUCCAACCGGCCUCACAACCGCAGACCACGUGUAUGACGUUGUGUGAGCGAGCGGUUUGCUGAUGUCCACGUUGUGAACAGAGUGCCCCAUAUUGGGGUUAUGGUAUAAACUAAGGCAUAAGCUACGGACAACAAACACAAUAGCAUUUUAUUGAUUGUCGAUUUGAAUGCACAGAAAACCAUGAUGAGAUCCUGAGGGCCAUAUAAAAAAUGUUAAGGUAUAUCUGUAUUCCCAGUCAUGUGAAAUUCAUAGAUUAGGGCCUAAUGAAUUGACUUAAAUUGACUGAUUUCCUCAUGAGCUUUGUUUCAUGUUGCGUUUAUAUUUUUGUUCCGUAUA